rnacentral:rRNA from 1 species
AACGAACGCUGGCGGCAUGCCUAACACACGCAAGUCGAACGAGACCUUCGGGUCUAGUGGCGCACGGGUGCGUAACGCGUGGGAACCUGCCCUUAGGUUCGGAAUAACUCCCCGAAAGGGGUGCUAAUACCGGAUAAUGUCUUCGGACCAAAGAUUUAUCGCCUUUGGAUGGGCCCGCGUUGGAUUAGCUAGUUGGUAGGGUAAAAGCCUACCAAGGCGACGAUCCAUAGCUGGUCUGAGAGGAUGAUCAGCCACACUGGGACUGAGACACGGCCCAGACUCCUACGGGAGGCAGCAGUGGGGAAUAUUGGACAAUGGGCGAAAGCCUGAUCCAGCAAUGCCGCGUGAGUGAUGAAGGCCUUAGGGUUGUAAAGCUCUUUUACCCGGGAUGAUAAUGACAGUACCGGGAGAAUAAGCUCCGGCUAACCCCGUG